rnacentral:lncRNA from 10 species
GUGAGAUGGGGGGAGACUCUUCUGAAUGGUGUGGUGGCGGAAGUGGGGGUGGGGGGGAUGCAACAGUCUUGUUGGACUGGAACAUAGAGUUCAAAUGGCGGAAUUUCAGAGCUUUGACGCUCUACUAUUAAGAAGGUCCAGCAAGUUCUGCCGUGAACAGUUGUGCUCAUAGCUAGCUGUGUGAUCUUGAACAAGUUUCUUUGUCUCCAAAACCUAGUUUUGUUACAGGUAGAUAGGCAAGAGUGGGCUCUCCCCCGACGCACUAGAAAUGUCGGAUGACAGUUCCACAGUUAUCGCAUUGCCUCUCUAAAAAUCAUAAUUCAGCAGCCAGGGAGAGACAAUCUCCUGAUGGUCCAUAACCUUGACAUUAAAAGUGUUAACUGAAUACAGAUCCCAGGGAGAAGCAGAUUCUUGGGCAUGUGUGUUAAGAGAUAAAAUGGCAAAGUAUGACUUUCCGGGGUACACGCCACAGGAAAAAGGAAAAAGUCUCAGGUGGGCAUGCGUGUAACUCCCUAAACGCACUGCGCGUGCUCAAUUCCAAAGGCUAAGGAAAGCAUUGCGCAUGCGGGAAACCCACGCUGAGGGAAGAAUCAUGGGAAAGAGUAGAGACGGGGUUCCACCGUGUUAGCCAGGAUGGUCUCGAUUUCCUGACCUCGUCAUCCUCCCGCCUUGGCCUCCCAAAGUGCUGGGAUUACAGGCUUGAGCCACCGCGCCCCGCUCUUUCGUGUUCCAAAGGCUUUUUAAAUAAACUUCCACUCCUGUCCUGGAUUCUGCUUUAUGGCCCUCAGUCGAAUUCUUUCUUCUGAGGAGGCAAGGACUGAAGUUGCUUCUGACCAGUACAGGAGAAAACGAAUACAGCAGGGAUGACUUCCACCAGCUCCACUUUGCAGCUCUGAGGUGUAUUAAAAAUUUGUUUUUCAGAAACCUAGAGCCCCACCAAAUGAAUCCGCUGGCACGUGGACCUCAGAUGGGGGAAACUGAGGACUGAAUUCUGACCACCCUCCUUUGUUCUAAAUUUCUUCCUGAAGGACCUGGAAGAAGUCAUGCCACGGGCCAGACCUUAACAUUCCUUUCGGCUUACCCCAGGAUUUCAGACAAAGCUUCACUUUCCUAACCAGUCACAAAUCAGAGAAUUUUUGAUUCCACCUAUGACCUGUGAGCUCCUGCUUCAAGAUAUUCCACCUUUUUUAGGCCAAACCAAUGUAUAACCUCCAAGUGUCGAUUUACACUUUCGACUGUAACUUCUGCUUUCCUGAGAUUUACCCCUGCCUUUAAAAACCCUUGCUUGUAAUCCCUCAGGGAGGCCGUGUAUUUAUUAAUCAUGAGCUGCCCAAUUCUCCUUGCUUGGUGCCCUGCAAAUAAACACCCUCUUUUCUCCCACUGCAAAACCUCAGUGUGGAUGUUUGGCUUUACUUCACCCCCAGGAAAGCAGACCCAGGUUUGACUCAGCAACAACAUCUGUUUCUAUUUUUCUCUGUAUAAAUAUUAAAAACCAUAAGUACAUGCUAUCUCCAAUUCCAAUAUAAACCCAUA